AUGGAUGUCUUCAUCCUUAACCUACCUAUAAGGUUCGGCAAGGUUGAAAGGGAAAUUGGUGGAAGAUUACAGUGGAGGCAAGGAAUGGUUCGGCUGUGCUUGUGUUUGCUGUGUAAGGGAGGCCUCAUGUACGAAAUCUUGGGUUUUGAUGGCAGCCAAAGCAGUGAUGAAUUCGGCAAGGUCAAGCUUUCCCGUGCCAAACACAAUCUAAUACGAAUUAAUUACGUUCAAAUCACUUGGUACCGCGUGGCCGAGAUCAUUACAAGGCCCAAGGCAACACCAAGCCCUAUUGACUGCGUAAUUUAUGACCCCUUCUUGCCUUGGGCUUUGGAGGUAGACAAAGAUUUUGGUCUAGCCACGGCUGCCUUCUUUACUCAAACCUGUACCGUUAAUUACACUUACUAUCUUGAGCAUCAUCGUCCUGGACUGCUUAGGAGUCCAGCUUCUUGUCCUAAUAAUCUUCCUCUCGGACUGCAUAUUCUUGAGCGUCAAGAUAUGCCGUCCUUCUUUUCUGUCCCGGGCUCGUAUCCAGCUUACUUUGAGAUGGUGUUGAACCAAUUCUCUAAUACCGACAAAGCUGAUUUCAUCUUCGCCAACACUUUCUACAAGUUAGAUCGAGGAAGAGGUACGGAAGUGGUGGAUUCGAUGUCUCAAGUUUGUCCAAUGCUGACAAUAGGGCCAACGAUUCCAUCUGCAUACUUGGACAAUAGCAUCAGAGACGACAAGGAUUAUGGGGUUCAUCUGUUCAAGACAGACUACUCGGUCUGCACCGACUGGCUCAAUACCAAGCCGGCAGGCUCCGUCGUGUACGUAGCCUUUGGUAGUAUAGCCAAUCUAAGUGACAAGCAAAUGAAGGAACUUGCCUUGGGGUUGAAGGCAACCAACUUCCACUUCUUGUGGGUGGUCAGGGAUUCAGAAGAGGCAAAGCUUCCCGAUAAGUUCAAAGAAGAGACGGCCGAGAAAGGGUUGUUAGUGAAUUGGAGCCCUCAGCUGGAAGUGUGUCACACAAAGCAAUAGGGUGUUUUUUCACGCACGGAGGGUGGAAUUCGACGAUUGAAGCAUUGAGCAUGGGAGUGCCGAUGGUUGUAAUGCCACAGUGGACGGACCAGCCUACCAAUUCGAAAUUGGUUGAGGGUCUUUGGAAGGUUGGGGUUAGAGUGAAGGUUGAUGAGAAUAGUGGGUUGGUUGGGAGAGAAGAGGUUGAGUUGUGCGUUAGGAGGGUGAUGGGGGAGGGAGACAUGGGGAUUGAAAUGAAAAGGAAUGCUAAGAAGUGGAGGGAGCUGGCUAUUGAGGCAGUGAAUGAGGGUGGCACCUCGGAUAAGACUAUUGAUGAAUUUGUAUCCAGGUUGGCCAGCGUUUGAUCUGUUCUCGCGCGCCGUUGAUCGGAAUCAUCAUCGGAUCAUUGUAUUGUUGUUUACCGUGAUAUGAAACAUAAUCAAACGAUUACAGUUCCAAAAACUCAUAGUUAGCUAGCUAGCCAAGAUCCGUAUAUAUCAAUUAUUGAUUGCAUAUUUUUGUGAUCUAUGAUAGGAUUCUAAGGAUCAUGAAUUAUUGAGGCUAAUUGCA